rnacentral:rRNA from 1 species
GACGAACGCUGGCGGCGUGCUUAACACAUGCAAGUCGAACGGAAAGGCCCUGCUUUUGUGGGGUGCUCGAGUGGCGAACGGGUGAGUAACACGUGUGUAACCUGCCCUUGACUUUGGGAUAACUUCAGGAAACUGGGGCUACUACUGGAUAGGAGCUCCUGCUGCAUGGUGGGGGUUGGAAAGUUUCGGCGGUUGGGGAUGGACUCGCGGCUUAUCAGCUUGCUGGUGGGGUAGUGGGUUACCAAGGCUUUGACGGGUAGCCGGCCUGAGAGGGUGACCGGCCACAUUGGGACUGAGAUACGGCGCAGACUCCUACGGGAGGCAGCAGUGGGGAAUAUUGCACAGUGGGCGGAAGCCUGAUGCAGCAACGCCGCGUGCGGGAUGACGGCCUUCGGGUUGUAAACCGCUUUCGCCUGUGACGAAGCGUGAGUGACGGUAAUGGGUGAAGAAGCACCGGCUAACUACGUG